GAAGAAUCCUUCAUCUGUGGUUCCUGUUUGAACGACGCACAGAUAAAGUCAUUGUUAGAGCGCUCUCAAAAGGAAGAGACCGCGAAGCCCCCUGCCGAUUGUAUGGGGUGGGUUCUGGAUUCUCAACCCUCACAUCCCCUCAGGGCCGUCGGGACCGCCAUCAGCCCAGUGUGCACUGCCAUUGAUCCAUAUUGAAAGGCCAUCUUCUAGUCAUGUCAUUUUGAAUGGCACUGAAACACAAACCAGGUCCAGAUUGUCUGAGCUGCAUGGUCCCGUGGCUGAUAAGAUCCCAAGGCGGCAGCUGGGCAGAGGCUGAGCUGUUCGCGAGGGUCCACCCGGCUCAGUUUACAGUGACAGCUGGCCUGCCAAUGGUGGGGAAAAAGGGAGAGGCCAGGGCGUGAGGGCUGUUUCUGAAUGGGACCGUGUAAGAGGACUACUUGUUGUCUAAGGCCGGGGAUUACCUUUGCUGAGACCUGGAGUAAAAUAUCCCUGAGGGACGCUGUGCUGUGUUGUGAAAGCUUUAGGCUCAUGGAUGAUACUUAGAGUGGGAUUUGCCAUGUAAAUAUGAAAAUAUGUGUAUGGUCUCGAAAACAGAAAACAAAGUGAAUUUUAAACAAUAUAACAAUGCAAAAGAAAUGCUGGGAGAUUUAGGUUUUAUAUUUACUGACUCUGUCUUGCAUCAUAUAUUGUUUUCUUUCUCUUCCCGUCGAUCUUCAGCUCUGGGAGAGGGAAAACGGGAUGAAGCUUGAACCCUGAGCUCCGGGGCAUCCGGUCAAGGCCUGGAUACUAAUACUCAUGGCUUUCUGAGAGAUUUCCUGAACCUGCUGGCCCACGCUGUGAAUAAAGAUGCGGAAAAUUA